AAUCCAAAAAAAAAUGACUACAUAUGGAUGUGAAGGUCAAAUUAUUGUUUGUUUAUGAUAAUAAAUACAAUAAUCUUUGUGAACCAAACAACCUUUCAACAUCGAGUGAAAUAUUGCAUCACAUUCCUCGCCUCUGAAAACAAAGUCUUCAAAAUUGCCAAGAAGCUCCUCACAAUUGUCGAUACGUCUCCUUUUCGAGUUUGCUGAUUGGCCAUUUAAAAUAUGCAAAUUUGAUCCGAAAAACAAUAAGACAGAUGGACACAGAUGGAGUGAAACAAAAGCGAGGCGGACAGAGAUGAAGCCAUCAAAGUGGAGUUGCCAACGGAUUGCACUUAAAAAUGCCCAAAAGCAGUCGAAAAUAAUUUGUUAAGCUUUAUGGACAGGCGAAAACUUAAUUAAAAACAAUCCUUUUCUGGCGCACCUAAUU
ensembl:ncRNA lncRNA:CR44308 long non-coding RNA:CR44308